rnacentral:sRNA from 1 species
AAUAGAAGGCUUGCAAGGGCGGUCGGCUAGUCUCCCGGAAGGGAGGUGAUGCUCAUGGAGGUUUAUCAAGCAUUGUCACUGAUGUUCAUGUUUGGCAUGUUCAUUAUUGCUCUGCUGAACUACCUCAAAAAGAAAUAGACCGCCCUCUCCCUUUUACUGCUCUUAACUAACUAACUAACUGUCAUAAAUCAUGCCUUUGUGGGCGAAUGGUAUGUUAUUCUAAUUAUUUUUAUAGAGAUUGAUU